AAAACAAAAGAAAAUUGUAUUUGAACUCUUAGAUUUUGCAUCUUCGAUCCUUUAUCUAUUCUCGCCACUCUCGCCGAAUAGCUCCGGGCAAAUUGGGAACUCGGCAUUCGUCAACCCUACAAUUAUGGAUUACCGCAACAAACUCGUUCUCGCUCCCAUGGUUCGCGUUGGCACUCUCCCAUUUAGAUUACUAGCUGCUCAAUAUGGUGCAGAUAUCACUUACGGUGAGGAAAUCAUUGAUCAUAAGAUGCUCAAGUGCGAGCGUCGAAUCAACGAACUCAUUGGAUGCACUGAUUUUGUGGAGAAGGGAACAGAUAGUGUUGUUUUUAGAACCUGCAAUGAAGAAAAGGAUAGGGUUGUAUUUCAAAUAGGCACAUCUGAUGCUGUGAGAGCCCUAACUGCGGCUCAGUUAGUGUGUAAUGAUGUCGCUGCCAUAGAUAUUAACAUGGGUUGCCCGAAGUCGUUUUCUGUGAGUGGUGGGAUGGGUGCUGCUCUGCUGUCCAAACCAGAGCUUAUUCAUGAUAUCUUAACGACAUUAAGGAGGAAUUUGAACACACCCGUAACUUGUAAGAUUCGACUCUUAAAAUCACCACAUGACACUGUGGAAUUGGCCAGAAGAAUUGAGAAAACUGGUGUUUCUGCUCUCACAGUCCAUGGACGGAAAGUCACAGAUAGGCCCAGAGAUCCUGCUAAGUGGAAUGAAAUAGCUGAUGUUGUCUCAGCAUUAUCUAUUCCAGUGAUAGCAAAUGGUGAUGUUUUUGAGUAUGAUGAUUUUGAACGGAUUAAAUUAGCAACAGGUGCCACAUCGGUGAUGGUUGCCAGAGGGGCACUUUGGAAUGCAUCAAUGUUUUUGCCCGAAGGUAAAGUCUCUCAUGAAGAUGUAAAAAGAGAAUACAUUAGGAAGUGCAUCUUAUGGGAUAAUGAUAUAAAAAGCACCAAGUAUACAGUAAAGGAAAUGAUAAUACAUUAUUCUUGCCUAGAACUGGCUGAAGGGAAGGCUGUGAACAAAUCAGAGUCCACAGCUGAUCUAGCGAGCAGGAUUAGUCACUGGCUUUGUGGGAACUUGUGGAAGGAAAGGUAAAAAAAGCGAGAUCUAGUUAGUCCAUUUCUUUGGCUUGGCAUUGUCAAUUUCUUGCUGGACAUGUCCCUCCGAGGCUGCUAUGGGUUUCACAUGCUCUGCAGGAUUGGGCUUGAGUCAUAACAAGGGAACUCUAUGGGCAGAAAGAAUACUACCAGUUAGUAAAACAAGGCUCUUUUUAUGCUUCUUGAUAAUGUCUUUGGAGCAUAAAUAUUCAGAGAUAGGACAUGGCUUCCCUGGUUAAGAAGGAUUUGGGCAGCUCCGAGUUUACUUAGCACAUUACAAGAAACUUACACAACUCACAAUUGAUAUUAUUCUUGAAUUCGAACUCAAUCAUUUGUUUGUCAUGGAUGAAAAUAGUUAGAUGAGUUAACCCCUACAAGCAUGGAUAUAGAUAAUGCUAUAAGCUAUAUUCAUGAUUUGUAAUCAUUUUUUAUACAUGGAAGUGUAAUAUUUAUUGUAGAGGCUUUUUUUUUGGUAAAGCAUGAACAAUAAUAUGAUUGACUGCUAUUACCACAGUU